rnacentral:misc_RNA from 1 species
AAAACUAAUGCAAAUUCUGUAUUGGAUUCUGAAACAUAAUAAUGUCUGAUUACAAAACAUUAAUAGGGAACUACAAAUCUAAGAAACCGUAAAUCAAAUCCACAAAACUUGAUAUUGAAGAAAGAAAAACAAAAAACCCAAUUCAUUUUUCAAAUAAAGAAAACCCAAUUCAUCAUUUUUCAAAUAAUGGGCAUUUGUUUCUUGGAAUUGUUAUUAACCAGGAUAUGAACUCUAUUAACUUCAACCUCAUAUCCCACAUUAUGCUGAAAGCCAUUUCUAUUCAACUUCAUAUUGGGACUAUAAUCAAAUUUACUCAAGUAUGGACUUCUAAACUUUUUGCUUAGUUUUUCAGAGAAGUCUGGAUCCACAUCAUUCUGGUCCUGAAGAGAGCGAAUGAGCUUUCUUGGAGUUGUGAAGAUGCUAAUGUUGUCAACAUUUAUAUGAGAACGUGACCUCUAAAGAGACGGGGAAAAGUAAAUAUGAUUAUAUUAGCAACCAUUAGCAUAAAUAAGAAGAAGAAGAAGAUGAUGAAACAUAGUAACAGUAAUACUAUGGAAAAUAUCAGCAGUCAAAAUAAGCAUCUGAGCUAUAAACGGCAAUCUUUUCCAGCUAUAAGGUGUGCUAUUCCCAAGUGCAAUAGGCAAGAAAAACAUCCAUAUCAUAAGAAAAACCAGAAAAUGAAGCUAAUGCCAGCAAGGUAAAAAAAUUCUUGAGACUAAUCUCAAGCACCAUUUUCUGAUCUGCAUUUAGAAACCUUGCUAGAAGUUUAAACAUCUUUUUUGCUUCUACUUAUCAAUGGAAAAACUAGCACCAUAACUCACCAAUAUUUUGCAAAGUCAGGUUAAAAUUCACUGUCACCAUCUGAUCCUUACUAAAUAUAAGAGUCCAAAUAGAAAGAAAUUCAAGCAAGCAAGCAACUCUUGAAAUACCUAUCACAACAAUUACCUGAGGACUGGGAGUGGUACUCCUGAGUCCAUUUCUAGGAGUUCUUUGCAAGAACCCCGCAAAGUCUUCAGUGUGAUCUCCUCCAUUUUCAGCAAGUUCAAGAUGCCCAGAGUGACCAGGAAAUGCAUCAUGGAUUGGACUUCCAUGAACCAAAUCUGAAAAGAAGCCAUCUCUUAAAGAUACAUCCACCCCUCCAUUUUCAUGUCUCCAAAGUUUUCGGUUCACACUCUUACUGUCAAACUCCAUAUUCUGAGAAAUCUCAGUAGUUGAAAUAGGCGACUCGGCCAAAGAGUCAUAUUCAAUAAAGGAAUCAAGUGUCUGUGAUUCAGGUGAUAUAGAUGCUGGAGAAUGAUUUCCAGCACUAGUUACAGUUCUCCUUCCUUUGUGCUCUCCCCUACCAAAGUUUGAGCCAGUAACCGAACCAGGACUCUUCUCAAAUUUUGAUCCUUUCUCUGAGGAUAUUUUUUUUGCAGUUUGCAAAGCUUCAAAAGCAGCCCCACUCACAUAAGCCAUCUGAUCAGACUGGCACUCCUCCAUCUCCUUAAUUAUCAAGUCAACCUCUGAAAAAAUGUUUCUUGGAUCCAAACACUUCAUCAAGAAAUUGACCAUUUGAAUGGCAGACAACCUUUUCUGAGAGUUACUGUCUACAACACCAGCAUUCAAAAUACGCAAUCCAGAUUGUAUAAGCAAUCUUGCAUAUGCUUCAACUAUUAAAGCAUUAUGCUUAGCCAAAGCCAUGACUAAGCCCAUAUGUGAGUUUGUCUGAGUGCAUUUGUCCUCCAAAGCAACAGCUACAUUUUGACAAACCCUAUUUACCAUCUCAUCUGAAGCAAACCGCCAAUUAUCCGAGUCUACAAGAGCCUUUAAGCAAAGGGCAGCCCCAGAAGUAAGGCUUUCCUGCGAACCCAAGAGAGCUUUUGAAAGUGGCUUACAAAGAGAGUGAAUUAUAUGCCUUUUUUUGUCCUCCUCCAUUGUUGGAUCAAUGCCAUAUCUGGCAAUUGCUGGCACCACUUUUGAGCACGCUUGUUGAAGAGGAAAAGACCCUGCACUUGAAGCUAAGGUCUUGAUAAUGGUAGCCAUGAUGCUAUCAAUCUGAGGAACGAUGUUGACUCCAUGGACACGGGCAAGAACUUCAUAGAGUGAGAUAGUGUAUUCGCCAGACAAAGAACCCGUUUCUUUGGUUUCAGAAACUUGGGCAAGAAAGAGUGGGAUUGCCUUAGAAUCCAAGCCCUUCACAUAUGAUUUCAGUGCUCUCAUUGCCGAUCUACGACUAUCAGCAUCUUUGUCAAGAUUUGCCAAUUCUUGCCGAACUAUUGGACUGAGAUUCCUACCCAUCUUCUACCUCUCUAUUCUUGUUCUUCUUGUUGCAGGAAAUGCUCUGUUCACUCUUCUCUUAUCUUUGUUUAGUGAAACCAAGAGGCAGGGGAUUCUAAAUUCAAGAAAUUGAAAACAGGAACAAAAAACAAAGAGAUACAGAAAUUGGAAGCAAUACCAAAUCAAAUGGUCUCUGUUUAAUGAAGUCUAGAAACAGGGGAUUCUAAAUUCAAGAACUUGAAAACAUGAACAAGGAACAAAAAGAUGAAGAAUUUGGAAGCAAACCCAAAUCAAAUACUUUGUUUAGUGAAACCAAGAAACAGGGGAUUCUAAAUUCAAGAACUUGAAAACAUGAACAAGGAACAAAAAGAUGAAGAAUUUGGAAGCAAACCCAAAUCAAAUACUUUGUUUAGUGAAACCAAGAAACAGGGGAUUCUAAAUUCAAAACAGGAACAAGAAACAAAAAUAAAAAAAUGAAGAAUUUUGGAGCCAAGCCAAAUCAAAUAGUAUUUCUUGAGGGUAACAGUGUGUGUAUAGGGUUUAGUACAAAGGAUCCUGAAUGUAAAAUUUAAAUCCCGUGUUUUUAGGGCCUGUCUUUUGGGAUUUUCUUUUCCUUUUCCUGGCUUUCUUGUUUUUAUGAAGAGGAAG